rnacentral:lncRNA from 1 species
GCUGCAACUUCGGAUCUCGCUCUGCAUUUGCGUCUAAGGAGGUGCGGGCUUUCGAACGCCGCAGUAGUUACGCGUCCCGCGGACCCUGUCUGAUUCUGAAAGAACAGACACACCGUGUGCGGGCCUCGUCAACUCCUGCCCGCCUCUCUGGCAUUUACAUGGGGCCUAUGCUUUUUCUGAGAUUUUCUCCUGGAAUCGCGGGGUCAGAGCUGGACCAGUGCUUGAGGUCACUUUCUUUUAAAAUAGAAAUGUAAGGUCCAAGGAAGAAAAACGCACUUACUGGAGGAGGCUGAUGAGAGAGGUGGUGUAUCACUGCCCGCAGAGGGGAAGUCGGUAGGUGUGUGCUGGGCACAUUGCUGGGAUCGGAAGGUCCUUAGUCAAGGACCGGGAAGGCAGGGGAGAGGCCACGAUCCGGAUGGUUCUGCUGGCUCCUCCCACAGGGUGUCAGUGUUGCAGUGAACUGUGGUGUGGAAUUCAGGCGAGGGCUGGUGGCUACUUCAGCCACUUACAGCGGCUGGCCCUUUGCAAGCACGGUGCUUCGCCGCGGUUACUUCUGCCACUGGCACACCGGCCGCAGUCAGGAAGCACCACAUCAGGCAGGACGGACACGUACUGGGAAUGGGCACCAGGGUCAGGCCUGAACUAUGACCAGUAUUCUCCGUGAACGUUUAGGAGGGGCUAUGGCCGUCGCACCUCCGCAGCAGCUAGAUAUGAGUCUGCUAAUAAAUAAUGGCCAGUGGGAAUUGAAUGAAAGGAAUGUGUGUCGCUUAGGCGGUACCAUGCAAAGUACCCACGUUCCUUCUCUGGUGACUAUGGGAACAGCCACCUUGAACUCAGAAAUGAAGUAUUGUGAUCAUUUGGAUGGUCCUUCCCUAGCUGACAGCCACUUUCAGACUCCAAGGGCAGACAGUCCUUAGUACGUGGAAGUCAUUGAGUUGCUGAAAGAUUUCAGGCUUUACCUGGAGCCCACUACUCAAUCUUCAGUUGUGUAAACCAGUAAAUUCCCUUUAGUGUUGAAAUCAGUGAGAGUCUGACUUCCUGGUACUUGAAACAGCAUGCUGAUCCAUUUAUCUUGCCAGUCUGCUAAAGUCCUUCCUCUGCUCAUCCUGCUGCUGUUUUUUGUCUUUUUAGGGCCACACCCUCCACAAAAGAAGUUCCCAGUCUAGGGGUCAAAUCAGAGCUGUAGCCGCCAGCCUAUGCCAGAGCCACAGCAACUCAGGAUUCGAGCCGUGUCUGCGACCUACACCACAGCUCACCGCAACGUGGGAUCCUCAACCCACUGAGUGAGGCCUGGGAUCAAACCCACAACCUCAUGGCUCCUAGUCAGAUUCAUUUCCACUGCACCACUACGAGAACUCCAAGACUACCUGUCAUUUGAGACAGUUCAGCCAGCCUGGAUUCACAACCUCAUUCCACCCCUUAUUAGCUCCUAUAGCCUUAGACAAUAUUUUUGACCUCUCAUUUUUACUCUGCUGUGAAAUUGGCAUAUUUUCUCAUCCAUGAAAUUGGCACUUUUGCCUUAUGGAGAUGUGGUUUUAAAGGAGACAGUACAUAUAAAAAUUGUUCAAGGAGUUCCCAUUGUGCUCAGUGGGUUAAGGACCUGAUAUAGUCUCUGUGAGGAUGCAGAUUCCAUCCUUGUCCUCACGCAGGGGGUUAAGAAUUUGGCAUUGCCACAAGCUGCAGCGUAGGUUGCAGAUGCAGCUCAACUCCAGUGUUGCUGUGGCUGUGAUGUCGGCCUGCAGCUGCAACUUGGCCCCUGGCCUGGGAAGUUUCAUAUGCCAAAGGUAUGGCCAUAAAAAGAAAAAGAAUUGCUCAAAACAGAUGUAUGUAAAGUUCUGAAUUGUUCUGAAAACCCACAUGCUCUAUAACCAGGUCUAGGAUGUGGCCUAACCUAAUUCCUGUGUCCAGUCGCCUGGGCCAGGCUAAGGGGCUUUGCAGGACUUGUAAAAGCUCAUGUAGCUUUUAAAUCCCUGGGUUCAAGUUGUACAGGCCUUCCCCUUACAGUAAUCUUACCUUUAUUUUUAAUCUCCACCCUGACAUCCAGCCCUGGCAUAGGCUGCAUGUAAGAUUUGAUGGUUGAACAAGUAAGAGCAGGGACUACUGGGCUGCACUGCCUUUUGUGCCAGCAGCCCUAACUUACACUGUUCCUAGCUGCCCCGUAAAUUUUAACAGCACUUUUGUAGUAAUAAGACUGUACUCACAUCCUAGUAGCAUUCACAUAUCUAUUUAUCUUAUCUAUCCUCAGCUGUAAACUUCUAGCCGGCAGAAUGAAUUUGGCCUAUGUGCUGCUUUGACUUAUGUUAUGGUAUAAAAACCGGAAAAUCUCACAUGAAAAUCCUGAUUUGGGAUAACACCCACACUCCUGCACAGUAACUGUCAACACAAGUGAAAAAUCCUAAUGUUAGACUAGUCCAUGUUGUAAGCAGGGUAGAAUAAUAUAACACAUUUGUGUGUGGACAACACACCAAAAAAAACCCUAGAGUUCCCGUUGUGGCUCAGCGGAAAGGAAUCUGACUAGCACCCAUGAGGACACAGGUUCAAUCCCUGGCCUCGCUUAGUGGGUUAAGGAUCCAGCAUUGCCAUGAGCUGUGGUGUAGGUUGCAGACAUGGCUCGGAUCUGACAUUGUUGCGGCUAUGCUGGAGGCUACAGCUCCGAUUGAACCCCUAGCCUGGGAACCUCCAUACCUCUCGGAUGUGGCCCUGAAUAUAUAUAUAUAUAUAAAGCCUCCUAAUAUUAAAAAGACCUUUGCCAGCUCUGUCUUACACAAGUAAUAACAGAGGGAGUACUUUGGCCUAACACUCGAGUGUAUGUCCCCCAGCACCCAGGUAAGGGCCUCAGAUACUGUCACUAAAAAAGAGCAGGUGCAAAAGAAAAAAAUGCCUCCCUAGGGAUGUCUACAUCCCAGCCCCCUAAACCUAUGAAUACCUUACAUGGCAAAAGGAACUUUGCAGGUGUAAUUAAGGGACUUGGGGUGGGAAAGUUGUCCUCAAUUACCCAAUGGCCCCAGUGUCAUCACAAGGAUCCUUGUAAGGAGGCCAUGAGUCAGAAUUGGAGGUAAGGAGUUCCCAUCAUGGCUCACUGGAAAUGAAUCUGACUAGUAUCCAUGAGGACACAGGUUUGAUCCCUGGCCUUGCUCAGUGGGUUAAGGAUCCAGCUUUGUCAUGAGCUGUGGUGUAGAUCCAAGCCACAUCUGUGACUGAGACCACAGCUCAGAAAUGCCAGAUCCUUAUGAACCCCACUAGUACCCAUGAGGAUGCAGGUUCAAGGCCAGGGAUCCCACAACGGGAGGCCAGAUCCCACAACGGGAACUCCAAGAUAAACUGUUCUGAGAGAGGGUUCAACCUCACUUCUAGCACCUUAGUUUUUAAUUAACUUUGGGCUUCUGGUUUUGCUUUUUCUUUUUCAGCUGCACCUGCAGCAUAUGGAAGCUCCUGGGCCAGGGAUUGAAUCCAAGCCAGAGCUUAUCUAUAGCACGGCUGCAGCAACACUAGAUCCUUAACCCAUUGCUGGGGAUUGAACCCAAGCCUCCAGAGACAAGCUGGAUCAUUAACCCACUGUGCCGCAGCAGGACCUCCUGGAGUAAGACUAUAUAGCAUCCAGUAAAGGGGGAACAUGGUAGAAUCUUUAGGAAGAUGUAAGACGGAAAAAACCCAAAGUUGUAAGAAAAAAUUUAGUUAUUAGUAAAACUGUUAUAUUUGCAGUGUUUCUGGUUUGUUUUCAAAGGCAAAUCAUUUGUUUUUGGCAAUACCCAAGGUAUGCAGAAAUUCCUGGGACAGGGAUCAAAACCACACCAUGGCAGUAACAAUGCUAGAUCCUUAACCAGCUUCACUACCAGGGAAUUCCCCAAAUCACAUUUCUAAUUUAAACUGUGAACUAAUUUGGAAUCAAGAUCUAAAUGCCCAAGAAAAACUGGUUUUUAAAAUGCUGCUCAGGUUUAACCACAUUCAAAGGAAUGUUUAAAAUAUCGGACUGCUCCCUCUGGGCCCCAAGCAGUAGAGAACUGCUCCUCCAUAAAGCAGGGCUGCUGUGGUCCCUGGAAGGACCUGGGCUGUUCCCCAACUCCCAGCACACCUCCCCUCCACUUCCCAGUUGACCAGCUUCACCCACAUCAUCUGCUGCCCUCCAGAGUCUGCAGUCAGUGGCCAAACAUUAAAGGCAUUCCAGAACUGGCUCAUCCAGUGCCAUUUCAGACCUGCCUCUCAAGUGGCAUGCAAGCAACCUGGUGGCACUGAAGGAAGACUCUGAAAAGAAGUAACAGGUACCAUUUAUUGUUCUAAGUAAUAGGCCCAUUACCAACAGUGUGUAGUGUAAUCCAUCAUAGUGAAUCCAUAAGACCAGUUUUUUUCACUUUACAGAUAGCUUUGAGCUAUUUGCUGUUUAAAAUAUAAGCCAAAAACUGACCUGGAGCCAAGAUUCCAAUGUGAUUUGAGACCACAGCCCUGCUGCCUGAAGGAUGCUCCCCAGCUUCAAAACAAGCAGCCCUGCUGUUAAAGCCAGAAAAGCUGGGGAGGCCGGGGUACAGAGGUGUUAGUAGCCUUACGGGAGAAGCCAGGUUUUAGGAUUCACACAGGUGAACUCUGGGGGCCAUGACUGCAAUCAUCCUCGUCUGUUCAGGUUCAUGAUGUGGAAACUAUCACCUAAAAUAUUAGUGGGCAAAUGGCCUCAGCUUAGAGAUGAAUGUCACCUCCUGUGUUACACGCACAGUUUCAGUUAGGAGUUUCUGAGUGGCUCAGUGGGUUAAGGUCCAGCAUUGUCACUGCUGUGGCACAGGGUGAUCCCUGGCCCCAGCCCCAAACUUCCACAUGCGGAAAAAAAAACCCUACCUCCUAAGAAGUAGGUACAUCAGCCAAGCGUCAAGCACUGAGAAAGUACACAUCUCUGUGUCCUGACUCAGUGUUACAGGUCCCCAAACACACCCACGUUAAGUGGAGCCACACUGGGGUAAUCCUGUCCCAGUGACUACCAUGACUGGGUGUGCAGAGGGCGGGCUAGGUGACCAGUAGGGAUAUUUAAGCCGAACCUGUGGGGAGUGGGUGUUACUAGGGGAAAGAAAAGCCAGGAGGAGGAUUAGAAGUGCAGGUGUCCUCAGGUAUAGAAGUUCAUCUCAGUGAAAUGGGCAAAUUCUUACUGAGAAGUCCUUGAAUUACCUCUGUGCCAUCAAAUUGUUUGUGCUAAGCUUGGUCACUUAGCAGUGUUCUCUGGGGGCAAUGACAAGCCAGGUUCCAGGCCAUGGUUCGUGGUUGCUACUGCAGAGUAUAAUGCAAUGAUGAAAAUGAGGCACCAUGGACUAGAAUGUACCACUCUACUCAGUGCUCCCACCUGGUCUCCUCAGGCCCAUCUAGGACUGCAUGUUUUCUACAAGAGCAGAAAGGAAGGGUGAAAAAUACCAAGUUUGUGAUGCUGAAGACAGCAUCACAACUACCCUUGCCAUCAUCUAUGUAUCAGCUACCUCAGAGGACAGGUUCGACACAGCUGGCUAUCAGAAUCUUUAUGAAAAGAUGACAAAUCAGUCAAGUUCCUUGACAAGGUUGGUAGUGGAGCUGAAAACAGAUGUGAAGCAGUUAUGUUUAAUGAAUGCUCUUUCAAUUCUAAGGCAAGCAAAAAGGAUAAUUACAUGUACGAAAAACACUCUAAUUUGGAGCAUAAGCUCCAAAAUACUAAGUUGUUCUCAGAUUCCAGCCGCACCACUGGGGCUAAGAACUCGGUUACUCAUCCCAGUAGUUUUCAAUCCAUGGCACCUAGAGUUACCUGGAAGCUUAUUAAACACUGAUGCUCAGGACCUACCUGACAAUUACAAGCCAAAUGUCUGCAUCUCAACACCUACUCCCUAAGACCAUUGUUAGGUUUUACACUUUUUAACUGCCUCAGCAAAUCAGUAGCCCCGAAUACUUCAGUUUACAUAGAAAUCCAGAGUCCAGUACAAAAUAUGUUCAAAACCUCUUCGAGGAGUUCCUGUGUGGCUCGGCAGUAUGAACCCAACUAGUACCCAUGAGGAUACAGGUUCAAUCCCUCGCCUCGUUUGGUGGGCUAAGGAUCUGACGUUGCCAUGAGCUGUGGUCUAGGCCAGCAACUGCAGCUCCAAUUUGUCCCCUAGCCUAGGAACUUCUAUAUGCCACAGGUGUGGCUGUAAAAAGCAAAACAAACAACAAACCCUGAAAACAGGAUGACCUUAGACUUCUAGUCUCCAGAAUUGAGGAAUAAAUUUCU